GGCGAACGCUGGCGGCAGGCCUGACACAUGCAAGUCGAACGAACUCUUCGGAGUUAGUGGCGGACGGGUGAGUAACACGUGGGAACGUGCCUUUAGGUUCGGAAUAACUCAGGGAAACUUGUGCUAAUACCGAAUGUGCCCUUCGGGGGAAAGAUUUAUCGCCUUUAGAGCGGCCCGCGUCUGAUUAGCUAGUUGGUGAGGUAAAGGCUCACCAAGGCGACGAUCAGUAGCUGGUCUGAGAGGAUGAUCAGCCACAUUGGGACUGAGACACGGCCCAAACUCCUACGGGAGGCAGCAGUGGGGAAUCUUGCGCAAUGGGCGAAAGCCUGACGCGGCCAUGCCGCGUGAAUGAUGAAGGUCUUAGGAUUGUAAAAUUCUUUCACCGGGGACGAUAAUGACGGUACCCGGAGAAGAAGCCCCGGCUAACUUCGUGCCAGCCGCCGCAGUAA
rnacentral:rRNA from 1 species